CACGUGGGAACGUACCCUUUGGUUCGGGAUAACUCUGGGAAACUAGAGCUAAUACCGGAUACGCCCUUUUGGGGAAAGGUUUACUGCCGAAGGAUCGGCCCGCGUCCGAUUAGCUAGUUGGUGUUGGUAAUGGCUCACCAAGGCGACGAUCGGUAGCUGGUCUCGAGAGGAUGACCAGCCACAUUGGGACUGAGACACGGCCCAAACUCCUACGGGAGGCAGCAGUGGGGAAUAUUGGACAAUGGGCGCAAGCCUGAUCCAGCCAUGCCGCGUGAGUGAUGACGGCCUUAGGGUUGUAAA
rnacentral:rRNA from 2 species